ensembl:lncRNA
CGGGAACAGACGCGCUGGUGCCGUCCUACCGCAUUCAAGUGCAGCUUAUAGUGUUGGCGCCGCAGCUGCCAAAAUACAAACCUAGUAACCUAUGCUGUUAUAGGCACAUUUUUCCAACUGACAUCUAGGCUAAAUACCGCGGGAUGUCUGAAACCCGACCGGGACUUCUGACUGUGUGAGGAAUAACAUUCAUUACAGGAGGAUACCAUUCUGACCAGACCAGGAGACAGACAGAGAGAAGGAGAGAAAGAGAGAUAAAGCCCUUGAAUUGAAUUGAAUUGAGAGAGAGAAGAAACUGAAAGAGAGAGAGAGAGAGAAGAAGAAACUGAAAGAGAGAGAGAGAGAGAGAGAGAAGAAAAAUAAGAUAUUUGGGAUGGUGGCAGCGUUCCAACAUUCCCACCUCUGUUCCAGACGUUCCUCCCUACUCCUGGUCUCUUUGGGAAGCACAAACGGAACCAAAGAACCCAAACUUUCCUCACUCCUCUACCUGCGUGGAAGUUAAUCCAUCCCAUUCCCUCUAAUUCCCACUAUCCCCUUCUUCCCACCCCUCUC